rnacentral:rRNA from 1 species
GACGAACGCUGGCGGCGUGCCUAAUACAUGCAAGUAGGACGCAGUUGCGAACGGGUGAGUAACGCGUAGGUCACUACCUAUUAGAGGGGGAUAAAUAUUGGAAACGAUAGCUAAUACCGCAUACUAGUAGAUGGACCUGCGUUGUAUUAGCUAGUAGGUAGGGUAAUGGCCUACCUAGGCAACGGUACAUAGUCGACCUGGGAGGGUUGCCGGCCAAACUGGGAAUGGGGAACGGGCCAGGAUCCUACCGGGGGGAACAGGUGGGAAUUUUCGGAAAUGGGGGGAAACCUGGCCGAGCAAAGCCGCGUGAGUGGAGGAGGUUUUCGGGUCGGAAAGCUCUUUUGUUAAGGAAGCGGUACUUAACCAGAAAGGGACGACUAACUACGUGCCAGCAGCCGCGGUAAUAC